ACGGGAGGCAGCAGUGGGGGAUAUUGCACAAUGGGGGAAACCCUGAUGUAGCGACGCCGCGUGAGUGAUGAAGUAUUUCGGUAUGUAAAGCUCUAUCAGCAGGAAAGAUAAUGACGGUACCUGACUAAGAAGCACCGGCUAAAUACGUGCCAGCAGCCGCGGUAAUACGUAUGGUGCAAGCGUUAUCCGGAUUUACUGGGUGUAAAGGGAGCGUAGACGGCUUUGCAAGUCUGAAGUGAAAGCUCGGGGCUCAACUCCGGAACUGCUUUGGAAACUGUAGAGCUAGAGUGCAGGAGAGGUAAGUGGAAUUCCUAGUGUAGCGGUGAAAUGCGUAGAUAUUAGGAGGAACACCAGUGGCGAAGGCGGCUUACUGGACUGUAACUGACGUUGAGGCUCGAAAGUGCGGGUAGCAAACAGGAUUAGAUACCCUGGUA
rnacentral:rRNA from 1 species